rnacentral:rRNA from 1 species
AGUGAACGCUGGCGGUAGGCCUAACACAUGCAAGUCGAACGGCAGCACAGUAAGAGCUUGCUCUUACGGGUGGCGAGUGGCGGACGGGUGAGGAAUACAUCGGAAUCUACUUUUUCGUGGGGGAUAACGUAGGGAAACUUACGCUAAUACCGCAUACGACCUACGGUUGAAAGCAGGGGAUCUUCGGACCUUUCGCGAUUGAAUGAGCCGAUGUCGGAUUAGCUAGUUGGGGGGGUAAAGGCCCACCAAGGCGACGAUCCGUAGCUGGUCUGAGAGGAUGAUCGGCCACACGGGAAGUUAGACACGGUCCAGACUCCUACGGGAGGCAGCAGUGGGGAAUAGUGGGCAAUGGGCGCAAGCCUGAUCCAGCCAUAGCGCGUGGGUGAAGAAGGCCUUCGGGUUGUAAAGCCGUUUUGUUGGGAAAGAAAAGCAGCAGGUUAAUACCACGCUGUUCUGACGGUACCCAAAGAAUAAGCACCGGCUAACUUCGUG